UGUAUUCUUCAAAGUGUCUUUCAGAACCAUGUCAUUUUUAUUUUUUGACAACUUCAUAAGCACUACAGUUACAAUCAAAUAGAGCUAACAAGUCUUAAUAUGGUAAAUACCUCUCAUAUCAUGGUCACAAAAAAAGCAACAUAUUACAUACCAAAUGUCAAGAUAAGGUUUAGUCCACCACUUAAUAUCUUGCCCAAAAUGCAGUCGAGUGAACUGGGUUACAAGAUUAGCUUUUCAGUCCUAGGGCACAGCCAAUAAACAUGUCUACAUCACGAUAAGAACUUGUAAAGAUAUAAUUCAUGAAUCAAUUUACCCCUUUGUCUCUAGACUCUGGAGCCGUAAAGCUUUCAAAUCCACAUGGAGAAGGGAUGAUGAACAGGGUUGUCCCACAAGUAGGUAGACGGCCGAAGCGUAGAUGCGUCAUGCAUUGCAACAAAAACCAAAUAAGAAAGACAAGAAUCCAAAGUACUGCCAUCAAAUAUGUAUAGAGAGCAACAAAAUCAAUGGUGAAAAGUAGCAGCGAGUUAUAAACUACAACAUCAAUACCGGAAAUAAGUCUCUUUGAUCAAAAAUAUAACCAGAUGGCUGAGGAUCCAUCAAUAGAUUUCCUUCUUUUCAUAAAUCAAAGCGGAAGAAACGCUAGAAAUAAAGGUGAGAUCGGAAAAUUUCCGAAUCCUACAAAGUUUAGAGAGCCUACAAAAUUUCCAAAUCCUAUUUGGUAGUGCAGGAGCUUGGAAAAUUUCAUGGAGGGCAUCCAAGCACAGCAGGAAGUGGUCAUUCUUGAAGUCCAAAUUAAGGAUAUUGGUCCAGUUUGGUAUCACUAGGCUAUGGAAAUCAGAUAGUAGGUGUGGCUUGCGGUAAAACAAUGAUUCUACUUUG
rnacentral:lncRNA from 1 species